UCUGGCUUUCCUGUGGCUUCU
rnacentral:miRNA from 1 species